rnacentral:rRNA from 1 species
AUUGAACGCUGGCGGCAUGCUUUACACAUGCAAGUCGAACGGCAGCGCGGGCUUCGGCCUGGCGGCGAGUGGCGAACGGGUGAGUAAUACAUCGGAACGUGCCCAGUAGUGGGGGAUAGCUCGGCGAAAGCCGGAUUAAUACCGCAUACGACCUGAGGGUGAAAGCGGGGGAUCUUCGGACCUCGCGCUAUUGGAGCGGCCGAUGGCCGAUUAGCUAGUUGGUGGGGUAAAGGCCUACCAAGGCGACGAUCGGUAGCUGGUCUGAGAGGGCGACCGGCCACCCUGGGACUGAGACACGGCCCAGACUCCUACGGGAGGCAGCAGUGGGGAAUUUUGGACAAUGGGCGAAAGCCUGAUCCAGCAAUGCCGCGUGUGUGAUGAAGGCCUUCGGGUUGUAAAGCACUUAUGGCGGGAACGAAAAGGACUGUGCCAAUACCACGGUUCGAUGACGGUACCCGCAGAAUAAGCACCGGCUAACUACGUG